UCUCCACGCAAGUCACUGUCCCUCUCUGGGCCAUCAUCGUCCCCUUUGAGGUCGUUCCCCUUUGCCAGGGGCUUGAAAUAGAUAACAAUCCACUCUACAGGUAAAGAGAAGAAGGUUCAGAGACUUUCAAUAGAUUACGAUCCGUUCCACAGGGAAAGAGAGGAAGGUUCCAUGACUUGCCCAAGCUCAGAGGACGGAAUGCGGGCACCAGGACUCACUCCUCGGCAACGAACUAUUCCCAGGAAACUAACCAUGCUCCUGCAGGGACCCCCACUGCGACCAGGCAGAUGAAACCGGAGGCUUUCAAAUACAUCUCAGUAACAUAUGAUAGCAGAACUCCACGAUGGCACGAGGUUAGAUUAGAAGAGGGCGGGCACCCUUAGGGCUGGGGGGCAGGGGGAACACAGUUUAAAAACCACUUGGUCAGGAGUUCCCAUUGUGGCUCAGCGGUAAUGAAUCCGACUAGUAUCUAGGAGGAUGCAGGUUCGAUUCCUGGCCUCGCUCAGUGGGUUAAGGAUCCGGCAUGGCUGUGGUUGUGGUGUAGGCCCACAGCUGCAGCUCCAAUUCAACCCCUAGCCUGGGCACUUCCAUAUGCGGCAGAUGCAGCUCUAAAAAGCAAAACAAAACCAAAAACCAACCGCUUGGUCAGAGCAUCACCGCCUCCUUUUCAUGUGGUAUCCUGGGUUCCAGUGUUUAAGAGAUGAAGAAGAGAGGGCUCAGGAUCCCCUGAGCCCAUAGGAAUCCAGGAUGGACUGGGAGUCUGGGGAAGAGGGUGGUCCAUAUUUGUCCCCUGGGGCCACUGAAUAGCAAAGGGGGCUGGAGCUCUCACUGAGGGGCAAUGGGGUCAGCGGCAUCUUGGAAGCGCUGGGACUCAGGGUCGAGCCCCAGCCAACAAGGGGGGUUAAGGAUCUGGCGUUGCCACAGCUGCAGCUUAGGGUGUGACUCUGGCUUGGAUCUGAUCACUGGCCUGGGAACUCCAUAUGCUGCGGGGCAAAAGAAAAAAGAAAGAAAGAAAGAAAGAAAGAAAGAAAGAAAGAAAGAGAAAGGAAGAAAGGAAGAAAGGAAGGAAGGAAGGAAGGAAGAAAAAGAAAGAAAGAAAGAAAGAAAGAAAGAAAGAAAGAAAGAAAGAGAGUUCCUGUCGUGGCUCAGUGGUUAACGAAUCCGACUAGGAACCAUGAGGUUGUGGGUUCGAUCCCUGGUCUUGCUCAGUGGGUUAAGGAUCUGGCGUUGCCGUGAGCUGUGGUGUAGGUCGCAGAUGAGGCUCAGAUCCUGAAUUGCUGUGGCUCUGGCGUAGGCUGGCAGCUACAACUCCGAUUCGACCCCUAGCCUGGGAACCUCCACAUGCCGUGGGUGUGGCCCUAGAGAAGGCAAAGAGACAAAAAAAAAAAAAAAAAAAGAAAGAAAAAAAAGAAAAAAGAAAAGAAAGGAAGAGGAAGAAAGGAAGGA
rnacentral:lncRNA from 1 species